rnacentral:rRNA from 1 species
AAUNUUGGACAAUGGGGGCAACCCUGAUCCAGCCAUGCCGCGUGAGUGAAGAAGGCCUUCGGGUUGUAAAGCUCUUUCGGCCUGGGAAGAAAUCGUGUUCUCUAACAUAGUGACAUGGAUGACUGGUACCGGACUAAGAAGCACCGGCUAACUACGUGCCAGCAGCCGCGGUAAUAGAUCUGGAUCCCCUCUAGAGUCGA